rnacentral:rRNA from 1 species
AGAGUUUGAUCCUGGCUCAGGAUGAACGCUAGCGGCAGGCUUAACACAUGCAAGUCGAGGGGUAUAGUAGCAAUACUAGAGACCGGCGCACGGGUGCGUAACGCGUAUGCAAUCUACCUUUUACAGAGGGAUAGCCCAGAGAAAUUUGGAUUAAUACCUCAUAGCAUAGCAGCUUCGCAUGAAGUCACUAUUAAAGUUACAACGGUAAAAGAUGAGCAUGCGUCCCAUUAGCUAGAUGGUAAGGUAACGGCUUACCAUGGCUACGAUGGGUAGGGGUCCUGAGAGGGAGAUCCCCCACACUGGUACUGAGACACGGACCAGACUCCUACGGGAGGCAGCAGUGAGGAAUAUUGGACAAUGGGCGCAAGCCUGAUCCAGCCAUGCCGCGUGCAGGAAGACGGUCCUACGGAUUGUAAACUGCUUUUAUACGGGAAGAAACCCUGCUACGUGUAGCAGCUUGACGGUACCGUAAGAAUAAGGAUCGGCUAACUCCGUGCCAGCAGCCGCGGUAAUACGGAGGAUCCAAGCGUUAUCCGGAAUCAUUGGGUUUAAAGGGUCCGUAGGCGGUUUAAUAAGUCAGUGGUGAAAGCCCAUCGCUUAACGAUGGAACGGCCAUUGAUACUGUUAGACUUGAAUUAUUGGGAAGUAACUAGAAUAUGUAGUGUAGCGGUGAAAUGCUUAGAUAUUACAUGGAAUACCAAUUGCGAAGGCAGGUUACUAUCAAUAUAUUGACGCUGAUGGACGAAAGCGUGGGGAGCGAACAGGAUUAGAUACCCUGGUAGUCCACGCCGUAAACGAUGGAUACUAGCUGUUCGGAGCAAUCUGAGUGGCUAAGCGAAAGUGAUAAGUUCCCCCCUGG